rnacentral:rRNA from 1 species
AUACGGAAGGUCCGGGCGUUAUCCGGAUUUAUUGGGUUUAAAGGGAGCGUAGGCCGGAGAUUAAGCGUGUUGUGAAAUGUAGAUGCUCAACAUCUGAACUGCAGCGCGAACUGGUUUCCUUGAGUAGGCACAAAGUGGGCGGAAUUCGUGGUGUAGCGGUGAAAUGCUUAGAUAUCACGAAGAACUCCGAUUGCGAAGGCAGCUCACUGGAGCGCAACUGACGCUGAAGCUCGAGAGUGCGGGUAUCGAACAGGAUUAGAUACCCUGGUAGUCCGCACGGUAAACGAUGGAUGCCCGCUGUUGGUCUGAAUAGGUCAGCGGCCAAGCGAAAGCAUUAAGCAUCCCACCUGGGGAGUACGCCGGCAACGGUGAAACUCAAAGGAAUUGACGGGGGCCCGCACAAGCGGAGGAACAUGUGGUUUAAUUCGAUGAUACGCGAGGAACCUUACCCGGGCUUGAAUUGCAGAGGAAGGAUUUGGAGACAAUGACGCCCUUCGGGGCCUCUGUGAAGGUGCUGCAUGGUUGUCGUCAGCUCGUGCCGUGAGGUGUCGGCUUAAGUGCCAUAACGAGCGCAACCCCUCUCCUUAGUUGCCAUCAGGUUAAGCUGGGCACUCUGGGGGCACUGCCACCGUAAGGUGUGAGGAAGGUGGGGAUGACGUCAAAUCAGCACGGCCCUUACGUCCGGGGCUACACACGUGUUACAAUGGCAGGUACAGAGAGACGGUCCCUUGCAAAAUGGAUCAAAUCCUUAAAGCCUGUCUCAGUUCGGACUGGGGUCUGCAACCCGACCCCACGAAGCUGGAUUCGCUAGUAAUCGCGCAUCAGCCAUGGCGCGGUGAAUACGUUCCCGGGCCUUGUACACACCGCCCGUCAAGCCAUGAAAGCCGGGGGCGCCUAAAGUCCGUGACCGUAAGGAGCGGCCUAGGGCGAAACUGGUAAUUGGGGCU